rnacentral:tRNA from 1 species
CGUCCCGUAGCUCAGCAGGAAGAGCGCCCGCGCAGGCGGGAGGUCCCGGGUUCGACUCCCGGCGGGACGG